GUAUAUUAUAGUGCUCAGCACAAGAUUAUUUCAUUACAUUUGUGUGUAAAAUCCUCUACCAGCCGAAGCUAGCAAAGGCCAAUGGUUCACAAGAGGGGUAUUGGAUAUAUGUCCCCAACGUGCACAUGCAAGAGCCAGCACUGAAGGUAGACAAUUAAUAUCAAUAAUGAUCCUUCCGCAGGUUCACCUACGGAAA
rnacentral:misc_RNA from 1 species